AGUAACACGUAAACAACCUGCCUUCAGGAUGGGGACAACAGACGGAAACGACUGCUAAUACCGAAUAAGUUCCAAGAGCCGCAUGGCCCAUGGAAGAAAAGGUGGCCUCUACCUGUAAGCUAUCGCCUGAAGAGGGGUUUGCGUCUGAUUAGCUGGUUGGAGGGGUAACGGCCCACCAAGGCGACGAUCAGUAGCCGGUCUGAGAGGUUGAACGGCCACACUGGAACUGAGACACGGUCCAGACUCCUACGGGAGGCAGCAUG
rnacentral:rRNA from 1 species